UAUGCCAGGCAGGUUACACUUAAAUCAAUCAUUUAGUUGUUCAAAUUCAUCAAGUCAAACAUUCAUUAAAAAGAUCAGCAUAUAAAGAAAAGUCACAAAGUAAAAUUCAUACCUGGCAAUUAAAGACACACAGUAUUGUGGGAAGUUCUGAAAUACAGAUGCUUCCCCGAGUCCUUUGCCAAUGUUCCUUAUAUACACCAGUGAAAUCAGAGUUAUGGUCAAUAUGUUUUUUUCAUUUAGUUUCUCGUGGCCCUAAAGGUCACCAAAUGGGAUCGCCCUCCAUCUGUACUUAAGAUCACCUAUAGAAAAGACGCGCCUCUUAGAGGACAAAGGAUAUGUUUUAAAGUUAAAUCUCCAAUAUACGCUUAUCUUAGACUCAAAGAAAUUAGACCUCUUUUUACCCAUCACACCAUGACCUUUAAAAAGAUAUCAAACAUGUUGUAACAGUAUUUCCAUCAUCACAACAUAUGAUAUACUCAAUAUUACAUGUGUUUAGUAUAUUUCCAGCAACAAGAUCUUUGAGAGGGGAAGAAAUACAGGUCAGUUCCUGCGUAUCAGUGACCCCUGUGGACAGAGACAACACCCUCUCUCGGGAACAGGCAUAGAAUGUGGUUUUAUUGUUUUAUGGUCCUGCUCCAAAAACACACUCUUGUCCAUCUGCCCUACACUACGAUGUAUAUAUGAUUUCCAAAUGAUAUAUGCAAGUAUUAAACGGCAAUAAAUGUCUCAUCUAUCUCUAUGGCUCUGGCUGAGGCUUUCUCCACUUCUCCCCAACGUGACGUAAUACCAAAAAUGUUAAAAAAAAGUGGUCUUUAAGAUCAUUUUUCAGACAUUAAAAAAUGUUAUAUAUCUUGAGUGAUUUAUGUAAUCGACAGUGGUGUUUAACCUGCAACACCCCUUUUAUGAAUCUGAUGCAUAAAAUAUAUAAAAACAAGAAAAUAAGAUAUGUGGGGGAAAAUAUGAGUAUUACCAGCAAUGUUGAGCAUUAUAAGCAUACGUUAUUUGGCAAACAUAAGGCAUUUGUAAUUAUAAAGCGUUUGCACGUGUGUGUGUUUUCUCCUUGCGAUGUAAAAUAGGCCUUCAACUUAAACAGAUAAUGACUGGAGUCCAUUCCCGACUCCCAAGCGACCACAUUCAACAUAACAAGUGCACAUUUUUUGUUUGGAAAAAAGCUCACAGAAACUAAAACCAGAUGUAUGCAGCUUUGCCAGGCGUGCAGCACCAGCGUAAACCAGCUAAGACCACUCUUCUAAGCUUUCAGUCUGGUAAAGCUGGAUUUUCGAUCUGAACAGCUAAAAGUGGACUCUAUAAACCUCUCUAAAACCAGCCUGCUACACCAGCUAAAACCAAACUGGGAGACCAGGUCAACUAGGUUAGGUCCACGUGCUCGUCUCCACUCAAACCUUUGCAGAGAAAUGAAACAGUAACUACAUGUGUUUGAUCUACAGUCGCCACCUGGUGGUGACAAAAAUGAAUAGCAUUAACAGAAAGUAUGAUUUCAACAUGUUUUUGGUGGUAUGGUACAGUGCUUUAUAUAGAUUAAUGGUAUAUGGUACAGUCUACUUUAGCUUAAAGGUAAAUAUAACAGUGAAUGAAGAUAAUUUUUAAACUGUGUUUAGGGUUUAGAUGUAGUUUAAUAAAGUUCAGAGUAUCAGUGAAGCAAGUUUGAGAGAUUUCUACAUAAAAUCUAUAAUUUUAAAAAUAUAAUCUUGAUAUCUUUAAUAAGGUAAAAUUUUUAAAUAAGGUCUAUCUCUAUUUACAGUUGUAUUAUGCCACAUUUAACCUCCUAAGACCUGGAUGUCACAUAUGUAUACAUGCAGGGACGUGCACAGACAUUUUGAGGGGGCAGGGGCUCAAGUGAAAUAAAGGGCACCUUUCAUAAUUAUGUAUAUUUUUUUCUUUUUCUUUUUAAAGCUGCGGUCUGCAACUUAUUUUAUCAUAUUUUUUGAUCAUAUUCACUGAAACCAACACUAUGCUCGGAUAGAACAACAUCUAUUAGACUGUUUAAGAAAAAAAUCAGCGCUUCUAGAUCCACCUGGAGCCUGUUAUUUGUUUUGCAAAAAUCCACAGCUCCCGGUUCAUUUGGUCCUAUCAGUGCAGGCUGGUUCAUUUGGUCCAAUCAGCGCAGGGCUGUGUAAAAUCUGCUUGUCAAUCACAGUACCUGCAUGCGCCACAGAUCCCCAUCCCCCUACAAUAUCACGUGCAUCCGCCUGAAUUCAUAGUUGUUUUGGUUUGAACAGCGUGAUGGCGGAGAGAACUUUCAGUAACAAACUUCCGAUUUCUCGGUUAACAACUAGAGCUAGGAAAACAACCAAUGAAAAGAAGGAAACAAAGAUAGAAAGUGACUGUGACCGUAUUAAAACUAGGAUCAAUAUCGGACCGGCAUUUGAAAGGAAUCUACGAGAUUUCAAGCUGGAUGCAGAGCUUGCCACAUUUCUUCUCGACAGGUAAUUGUGCUUUAUCAACCAUUGAUUGUAUUUCGGAGUGUUAUGUAAGUGAUCUAAGUAUUCUUGCUAAGUAUGCGUUCACAAUAAUACUUUUGCACACGCGCUGACGAGAACAAGCUCUGAGGGAGGUUGCUCGGAGGUAGUGGGGGAGGGACAUGAAAUUGUAAACAUUUGGAAACUGCUCAAUCCUCCAGAGUUGCCGACGGCAGCUUUAAACAAAAAGUAUAUAUAUUAACACAAUUCUGACUUCCUUUUAAAAAAAAAGAUUUAAAAAGUUAAUUAAUUUUAUCUUCCUCAAACUCACGCAAUUGUUUAAUUUUCAAAAGAUGUCUACAAAAUAAUCAGUUCACACAGAAACCAUGUUCUCCUUAGUAUUCUAGGUUUAUAGAGAAGCAAAGGAAGCCAUUACACAAUGUGCAUGUUUUGAAAACAUUAGAUUACAUAUUAAUUACAAAUUUGUUAAAAUGCUAAAAACAAAGUUGUGACUGCUGAGUUAGCGCUACAUGCCAAUAAAUGCUAUAUCAUAUGCUAGCGUUUAGCUGAUUAGUUGUUAGUUGUUACUCAAAAUGUAUUUUUGUCUGAUAAGGGCUCAAAAUAUAAGGUCUGUUUACUAAUAUGAGCUUCUGGCAUGAGCCUCAGAGCAGAGCAAUCAGAGCAGAGCUCAACAUUAUUAUUCAUGACCCUUUCAAAUAGGGCAAAAAUAGACCAUUUAAUUAAAAUGACAAAUUCUAGGUUUGUAAACAGACAUGUAAAAACGUUUCUGGAUAAUUUUUGCACUUAAUAAAGCAACAUACCUUCUAUGUCAUUGUCAAAGAACAAUUUAACAUAUUAUGACAACACAUCCUAUUGCACCUUUAAUCUUAGGUUUCAUAUUUAUUAGGGUUACACAUGUAAGAAACAACAAAUAUAGAUUAGGCCUAUUUUAUUUGUAUUUUAUAUUUUACUUUUUUGUGAUGUCAGUGAAAAUUCAGACUGGGCAAGUAAAAUACUGAACCAUCAGAUUUCUUCCCAAUCUACUCCAGCACUCCAGUAUAACACAUUAUACUUAUUUAACAGCCAUUACAAAAAACGCAAACCAAAAAGCUUACUACUGCAGUUAGCAAUUAUUUUAUUGUUUGUGCUUUAUUAUUUUAUGAGCAGUGUGUUUAAAAUACAUACACUGUUUCAAGUUUGCAACUCUUCAGGUUAAUAUGGGAUUGUCGUGGAAAACAAUGUCCCUGAAUCGUUAUGUGUAACAACGUGUCCCAUAUUUUGUGCAUAAAACUGUUAAUAUAAGAAUGUUUUCUUCCUCACACACUUACCGGUAGCUGCCUGCAUAAUCAUGCACAUGAUCGCGUCUCGUUCAUGCUGAGCUUUGGCGCUUGAAGCGCGAAUGAUGCAGCACGAGUGUAGAGAAGCCAAUCGUAAAGCGAAGUAAGUUAGAGAGGCGGGACUAAGUUAAGGUAAAGCCAAUCAUAUUAGCGAUGUGAAUUUUGGAGGCGGGACUCAUCUGUUAACCGUUUGUGUGCCACAAAUAGCGCUAUUUUUCUUUAUAUAAGAGUUUAAAUCUCAUUUAAAUGAUUCCUGAAUAAAUUCAUGUUAAAUUAAAUAAGCAACAAGUAAAAAACACAAGAAACAGACAGACAUCAGUUGUUAUAUGAAUAAAGAUCAUAUUAUUAUUAUUAUUAUUUUUUAAAAAGCACCCCAGAAAAAAGGGCACUUUCUCUCCAGGAAUAAAAAGGGCAGGUGCUCAAGCCCCCUUUGAUGUCUAUGUGUGCACGUGCCUGUAUACAUGAAUGUUUUUGUUGUUUGCACCAUAAUACUUAAUUCUGUGUAACUGGAACAUGUUAUACACAAACAUGGACAAAUACACUGCUUCAUGUUCAAAGAAAAAUAUUUGAUUAUUAUAUUUAUUGGUUCCCAAAAAUAGCUGAUAGAAAUCUGAAAAAAAAAAGACAAAUCCUUAGGAGGUUAAUUUAGGCUUCAUGUUAUCUAACCAAAGAUAGGAGAUUGUUGCAUAAAAUUGGUUUGGGCAGAAAAAAUAAUUUUGGUAGUGGAAACCUUUUUUAAGAUCUUUUCCUCUCAUCUCAUACAGUAUUUGUCCACCACCAUGACCCUUUAGUCUCUGUGGUGGUUCUUCAUCAGUCAACAUGUCAAAUAUCCUUUAAUGUGUUUGGGAAUUAAUAUUAAGUGUUUAGUGAAUUUAACCCUGCAGUAAACCCAGCAAUAUGUAACUCUGCUGAUGCUUCAACUGCUGUAAGGAAUGAGGGAUUAUUAGAUAACUUAAUGUCUGUUUUUGCCAGUGUUUAACUAUUUGAUACGUGUGAAGGAUUUUUAACAAUGACAAAAAACUUUUGUAUGUAUCAUGCA